GGAGCCAGAAGAGGAGCGUUGCCCAGGCAGCCUGAACGAGGAGACCGGUCUCCAGCGAUGUCAGGUCAGGGGGAGCAGCGCCGAGAUGUGAGAGCGAGCCGGCAGCGCACUCCAUCGGCUACGGGGGCUGAAUCCCCCGGGCUGUCAUCGGUGAAGGGAAAUCCUUCUAGGUGGAGCGCUUCUGGCCGG
rnacentral:ncRNA from 2 species